rnacentral:misc_RNA from 1 species
ACAAAUACGAUUAUAAUACCAAGUGAGUCAGUCGACGAUCUGUUGUCAGCCAUGGGGCCUAAAAUUAAUGAUGUAGAAGUGAAAUUUAACGUAGAAGAUAGUUUUGUACUUGCUGCUCUACCGUAUAGGAAAGCUAGUUAUCAACGAGCUAAAGAGGCACAGGAUAAUGCAGAAACUCCUCAGAUUAGAAGUAAUGAACCAGCAAUUAUUGAACAUACGGAUGUUGGAGGACCUUUAAGAGUUUCUACAAGAGCUAGAUUCUCUUACGAGUUGGACAGAUACAACAAGAAUGCCUUAUUAAUAUUUGAAGGGAACACGACAGAUGUUCCUUUAAGCACGGAAGAUGAUGCAGACGAGAGUGAUGAUAUGAGCACGAAGUUCAAACGUACUUUUGAACAAUAUCGAUUUGAAGUAGAAGUCCACAGCAAUCUAAAUGAUGAUGAAAUUGCUAGCACUUGUGACAGAUUCUUCCAGCAAGACUUUACAGAUUACGGCUGCGUAGCAGUGAUGAUGCUGGCUAAGACGAGACGAGGCAUUGUGGAGACCAGUCACAGCCCUAGAAGUGAAUUCGGCGUGAUGCGAUACAUGUCUGACCUACUACCGCCUACGUUACGGGACAAGCCUACUAUUUACAUCGUGCAGACUGAAGGUUACUAUUUGGUACCUCGAGCACGAGUCUGGUCGACACUGCCGCAGGACAACCUGGAGUUCCGUCUCCUGGUCCCCAACGUUUCAUCUCCUGAUGUCAGGGGCCAACGCUCAUCUGGAGCCUGCCUCCUAAAGCAUAUAAACGAGAAGCUCAUGAGCCUAGGAGAUCAGACAGACUUCUGCACCCUUCUUCAAGAUGCUGUGAAUGAAUUCGUGCACCAAACGCCUACGCUCCAUGGUCAGCCUUUCAGAUUAUAUUCGUCUCUCACCAAAGAACUGAGACUAGUUAGGUCCCCUGAGCCUUGAGGUCUUGAUAAAGGAAUUUGUGUUUGAUGUUUGUUAUUUUGAAUUGGUACCUGAAAUAUAAUAAUUUUUUAAAUCGUGUUUGGAAUAGAUAAUGUGCACGCUUGCCUAGUCGAAGAAGCUGGUUAUUCUUCGAACGUAAAGAAUUAAAAUAACCAAAAGAAGUAAAGGGUUACUUACCUAUCGUUUGAUCGAAUUGUCCUCUCCAGAAAAUAAAUAUUGAGAUUUCUAUUGCUCCCAGUUUUACAUCAUUCAUUUUCUUGACCAUCAACGACCACAAAAAUGGUAGUUUAAAGAUGCUCAAAGUACGGUUUCUGUUGAUUUGUGUCUGUGAAUGUUUUAUUAAUGUGAUGUAAGUAAAUAUACCAUUCAACUAUA